UAGGGAAUCUUCGGCAAUGGGGGGAACCCUGACCGAGCAACGCCGCGUGAGUGAAGAAGGUUUUCGGAUCGUAAAGCUCUGUUGUUAAGGAAGAACGAGCGUGAGAAUGGAAAGUUCAUACUGUGACGGUACUUAACCAGAAAGGGACGGCUAACUACGUGCCAGCAGCCGCGGUAAUACGUAGGUCCCGAGCGUUGUCCGGAUUUAUUGGGCGUAAAGCGAGCGCAGGCGGUUAGAUAAGUCUGAAGUUAAAGGCAGUGGCUCAACCAUUGUAGGCUUUGGAAACUGUUUAACUUGAGUGCAGAAGGGGAGAGUGGAAUUCCAUGUGUAGCGGUGAAAUGCGUAGAUAUAUGGAGGAACACCGGUGGCGAAAGCGGCUCUCUGGUCUGUAACUGACGCUGAGGCUCGAAAGCGUGGGGAGCGAACAGG
rnacentral:rRNA from 1 species